rnacentral:rRNA from 1 species
GACGAACGCUGGCGGCGUGCUUAACACAUGCAAGUCGAACGGAAAGGCCCUGCUUUUGUGGGGUGCUCGAGUGGCGAACGGGUGAGUAACACGUAAGUAACCUGCCCUUGACUUUGGGAUAACUUCAGGAAACUGGGGCUAAUACCGGAUAGGAGUUCCUGCUUCAUGGUGGGGGUUGGAAAGUUUCGGCGGUUGGGGUUGGACUCGCGGCUUAUGAGCUUGUUGGUGGGGUAGUGGCUUACCAAGGCUUUGAAGGGUAGCCGUCCUGCGAGGGUGACCGGCCACGCUGGGACGGAGAUAGGGCCCAGACUCCACCGGGAGGCAGCGGUGGGGAAGAGUGCACAAUGGGAGGAGCCCUAAUGCAGCAACGCCGCGUGGGGGAAGACGACAAUCGGGUUGGAUACCGCAUCUGUUUGUGACGGGGCGUGAGUGACGGUAAUGGGUAAAGAAGCACCGGCUAACUACGUG